UGACACUGCGCCGAAAAUGUACCGGGGCUAAACAUAUUACCGAAGCUGUGGAUUGUCCUUUGGACAAUGGUAGGAGAGCGUUCUAAGGGCGUUGAAGCAU
rnacentral:rRNA from 1 species